AACUAACGCUGGCGGCGUGCCUAACACAUGCAAGUCGUACGAGAAAGUUGGCUUCGGCUGAUGAGUAAAGUGGCGCACGGGUGAGUAACGCGUGGAUAAUCUGCCUUUUAGUUGGGAAUAACGUACCGAAAGGUGCGCUAAUACCGGAUAAUACUGCAUAACUACUGUUGUGUAGUCAAAGAAGGCCUCUGUUUACAAGCUUUUGCUGAAAGAUGAGUCCGCGUACCAUUAGCUAGUUGGUAGGGUAAUGGCCUACCAAGGCUACGAUGGUUAGCUGGUCUGAGAGGAUGAUCAGCCACACUGGAACUGAGACACGGUCCAGACUCCUACGGGAGGCAGCAGUGAGGAAUAUUGCGCAAUGGGGCAACCCUGACGCAGCAACGCCGCGUGAGUGAGGAAGGUUUUCGGACCGUAAAGCUCUGUCGAGCGGGAAGAAAUGUAUCGUGGCUAAUAUCCAUGAUAUUUGACGGUACCGCUAAAGGAAGCACCGG
rnacentral:rRNA from 1 species